rnacentral:rRNA from 1 species
CCCGCACAAGCGGUGGAGCAUGUGGUUAAUUCGACGCAACGCGAAGAACCUUACCAGGGCUUGACAUCCCCUGACCGCGUAUGAAAGUACGUUUUCACCCUCGGGUGACAGGGAGACAGGUGGUGCAUGGUUGUCGUCAGCUCGUGUCGUGAGAUGUUGGGUUAAGUCCCGCAACGAGCGCAACCCCUACGUUUAGUUGCCAACGCGUGAAGGCGAGCACUCUAGACGAACUGCCGUUGACAAAACGGAGGAAGGUGGGAUGACGUCAAAUCAUCAUGCCCCUUAUGUUCUGGGCUACACACGUGCUACAAUGGCCGGUACAGACGGACGCAAAGCCGCGAGGCGGAGCAAAUCCGAAAAAGCCGGUCUCAGUUCGGAUUGCAGGCUGCAAUUCGCCUGCAUGAAGUCGGAAUCGCUAGUAAUCGCAGGUCAGCAUACUGCGGUGAAUACGUUCCCGGGCCUU